rnacentral:misc_RNA from 1 species
AGGAAGCAAGGUUUCAACUGAUAUGGCAGUUCAUGGUAACUUAAAGCUAAAACCUCAGAUACUCCGAAGAGUUGUUCAUGGCCUUUGCCUCUCCUCAAGUGUGAAACAAUAUUUCGGCGAACUGUGUCCCACUCAUAGAUAGUUGUCUUAGUUGCCAGAAGUCCUCCAAGCACAAUGAUGGCCAAUGGUAGUCCUGUACAUUUCCCAAUCAUUUCUCUCCCCAGUUCCUCCAUUUGUGCUCUAAUUCUGAAGUCUGGAUAAUUUCUGGCAAGGAAUGCCUUCCUUUUAAACAAUUCCCAGCUCUCUUCAUCAUUUAAGUAUCUUGGUUGAUGGAGAAAGCAUGUUGGAUCUGGAUACAAUGCAACAUCCCUGAUACGAGUUGUGAGCAAUAAUUUGCUGCCAAACAUUCCAGUUCUAUAUGGAAAAGCAGGACGCAGAUUAUUCCAAGUCUCAACAGUCCAAAUAUCAUCCAAGAUCACUAAACAUUUCUUCUCUUGUUGAACUUGAUAAAGCAUCUUAACCAGUUCAUCGUCCCUUAGACUUGAAAUUUCCUCCCUCUGCUCUUUAGAUGGAUUGAUUAGCUUAAACAAGAUUCCUUCCCAGACAUCCCUGGGUUGACAUUGCUGGGAUAUAUAAGCCCAAGCAAAAGCUUCAAAAUGAUGCCUAACAUCAGGAUUAUGAUACAUCUUCUUAGCAAGGGUAGUCUUUCCAAGGCCUCCCAUUCCAUAAAUGGAAACAACAGUUUUUUCACUGCUCACCAAUUGUUCCACCAAAAUUUUCACAUCUUCCUCCAACCCAACUAUAUCAUCUUCCACAAUAUGGGAAUAAGACCUUCUCAAAUGUUGCCGCCUUCCUCCCUGUAGAGAAGGACCAGAGCUUUCUCUAGGUUGUAUCCCAUAAGUUUGCAAGCUUGUUGUAAGAUUAGAAAUCCUGGAUUUAAUAGUUUGGAUCUCAGAACCAACCCUGUAAAGCUCUACAGAUUCCUUAGCAAUUGUAGCAUACCUCUUGAUGA